UGUCACAGCCAUAUCUCCCUGUAGCCCAAAACCAGUUACUCACUUAAGCUAAGCAGGGCUGAGCCUGGUCAGUACCUGGAUGGGAGACCACAUGGGAAAACUUGGUUGCUGUUGGAA
rnacentral:rRNA from 1 species